GGUCAAGCAAAACAAGGCGCACGGUGGAUGCCUUGGCAUCAAGGGCCGACGAAGGGCGUGGCAAGACUGCGAUAAGCCUCGGUAAGCUGUCUAGCAAGCUUUAACCGGGGAUUCCCGAAUGAGGCAACUCACACCGGCAAAACCGGUGUACCCCUGGCUCAACACAUAGGCCAGGCGGGGGCAAGUGGGGGAAGUGAAACAUCUCAGUACCCCGAGGAAAAUACAUUAUUCCCUUAGUAGUGGCGAACGAACGGGGAACAGCCUAAACCGGGUAAACUUAGUGGCUCUGGAGCCUAUGUUUAUCCGGGGUAGUAAGACGGAUUGGGCGUUGUUCAGAAAGCGCCAUGGAGUUACAAACCCAACUCUAGCAGAAGGUCUCUGGAAAGAGCCACCACAGACGGUGAUAGUCCGGUAGGCGAAAGAGGCAAGCUCCAAGUCCUGUUCUUGAGUACCACGGGGCACGAAGAACCCUGUGGGAACCCGCCGAGACCACUCGGUAAGGCUAAAUACCCUUGAUGACCGAUAGUGAACAAGUACCGUGAGGGAAAGGUGAAAAGCACCGCGAAAGCGGAGUGAAAUAGACCUGAAACCGUGCGCCAACAAGCAGUCAGAGCCUGGACGCAAGUCCUGGUAAUGGCGUGCCUAUUGAAGAAUGAGCCGACGAGUUAAUCUGUGUAGCCGGUUAAGUGAUUAAGUCACGGAGCCAAAGCGAAAGCGAGUCUGAAUAGGGCGACUAUGGUUGCACGGAUUAGACCCGAAGCCGGGUGAGCUAUCCAUGGCCAGGGUGAAGCUUCGAUAAUCUCGAAGUGGAGGCCCGAACCGUUUAGCGUUGCAAAGCUAUCGGAUGAGCUGUGGAUAGGGGUGAUAUGCCAAUCGAACCCGGGGAUAGCUGGUUCUCCCCGAAAUGUAUUGAGGUACAGCCUCGGAUGGUGGUUAGCGGAGGUAGAGCUCUGAAUGGAAUAGGUGGGAGAGUAUCCUGUCAACUCCAAUCAAACUGCGAAUGCCGCUAACUUAGUCCGGGAGUGAGACUACGAGGGCUAAGCUCCGUGGUCGAGAGGGAAACAGCCCAGACCGUCAGCUAAGGUCCCUAAGAACAGGCUAAGUGGCAAAGGAAGUAGAAUUGCGUAGACAGCCAGGAGGUUGGCUUAGAAGCAGCCACCCUUUAAAGAGUGCGUAACAGCUCACUGGUUGAGUGGUACUGCGCCGACAACCCAACGGGGCUAAGCCUGUCACCGAAGCUACGGCAUUCCGUUUACGGAAUGGGUAGGGGAGCGUUCUUUUAGCAGCGAAGUCGAAUCGUGAGGUUCGGUGGAGCUUUAAGAAGUGAGAAUGUCGGCAUGAGUAGCGCAAGAUAUGUGAGAAACAUAUCCGCCGGAAACCCGAGGUUUCCUAAGCAAGGUUAAUCCGCUUAGGGUUAGUCGGGCCUAAGCCGAGGCCGUAAGGCGUAGUGCGAUGGACAACAGGUUAUUAUUCCUGUACCGCUGUGGUGGAGGCAAAGGGGUGACGCAGGAGGUUAGUUCGAGCAUUCCCAUUGGACAUGGAGUGUCGCUCAACGGAGAUGAUGCCGGGGCAGGUAAAUCCACCCCGGAUAUAGUUGAAAAUGAGAGGAAGUUGCGAGGAGACUCAAGACGAUUCGAGUAACGCCAGGCUGCCUAGAAAAGCCUCGUUGCCGUUGAAACCAUAGCGCCCGUACCUAAACCGACUCUGGUGGGUGGGGAUAAGAGUCCCAAGGUGAUCGAGAUAACCCUCGUUAAGGAACUUGGCAAUCUAGCCCCGUAACUUUGGAAGAAGGGGUGCCCUGAUUUAUCAGGGUUACAAUAAAUGGGCCCAAGUGACUGUUUAACUAAAACACAGGUCUGUGCUAAAGCGUAAGCUGAUGUAUACAGGCUGAUACCUGCCCAGUGCUGGAAGGUUAAUGGGAGGGGUUAGCGCAAGCGAAGCUCCGAACGAAAGCCCCAGUGAACGGCGGCCGUAACUAUAACGGUCCUAAGGUAGCGAAGUCCCUUGUCGGGUAAGUUCCGACCCGCACGAAUGGUGUAACAACUUGGGCGCUGUCUUAACGAGGGACUCGGCGAAAUUGAAAUACCCGUGAAGAUGCGGGUUUCCCGUCACAGGACAAAAAGACCCCGUGGAGCUUUACUGUAACUUGUCAUUGAGUCUGGUUUUACCAUGUGUAGCAUAGUUGGGAGGCUUUGAAGCCGGGGCGCUAGCCCUGGUGGAGCCGAAAUGUGAAAUACCAAUCUUGGUGAAUCUAGCCUCUAACCCCGGAGCAAGCCGUGGGACAGUGGCUGGUGGGCAGUUUGACUGGGGCGGUCGCCUCCCAAAAUGUAACGGAGGCGCCCAAAGGUCCCCUCAGGGUGGAUGGAAAUCACCCGUAGAGUGCAUUGGCAUAAGGGGGCUUGACUGCAAGACUUACAAGUCGAGCAGGGACGAAAGUCGGGCAAAGUGAUCCUACGGUACCGUGUGGAAGGGCCGUAGCUUAACGGAUAAAAGCUACCCCGGGGAUAACAGGCUUAUCUUGCCCAAGAGUUCAUAUCGACGGCAAGGUUUGGCACCUCGAUGUCGGCUCGUCGCAUCCUGGGGCUGGAGAAGGUCCCAAGGGUCCGGCUGUUCGCCGGUUAAAGCGGCACGCGAGCUGGGUUCAGACCGUCGUGAGACAGGUCGGUCUCUAUCCGUGAUGGGCGCAUGGAAACUUGAGGGGAGUUACCUGUAGUACGAGAGGAUCCAGGUGAACAAACAUAUGGUGUGCCAGUUGUCUCGCCAGAGGCAUCGCUGGGUAGCCAAGUUUGGUUCGGAUAAACGCUGAAAGCAUCUAAGUGUGAAGCCGGCCCCAAGAUGAGGUUUCCCAUCCCUCGCAAGAGGGGGUAAGGUCGCAGGUAGACCACCUGCUUGAUAGGCCACAUGUGUAAGCACCGUAAGGUGUUCAGCUGAGUGGUACUAAUGACCGAGGGCUUGACCUG
rnacentral:rRNA from 1 species